GGGGAUGCCUGGCUUCGACAGGGGACGAUGUCGUAGGUUGCAAGCCGAGCCGCCCAGUCUCGUUAAAGGGGCAACGGCUUAACUGCCAACAAGAACAACACUCGCGUUGCCGCUCCGGCAUUCGCGAUGGCUGCCUAAUCUAGUGUAGCCCGUUCGCCCGCCCUCAGCCCGAUGGGGCGGAGCGAACGCAGACAGUCGGGCUGCUCUCAGUGUAUCGCCUGCUAAGCUGAGCUAAGAUAAGCGGGAUGGCUCAAAGGUCGCCUUGUUCGGGGUGUGGCCGCGAGCGACAUGAAACAACGGACUACGCUUGUAGACGCCUGCGUCUAAAUCUUCUGGACGGGGGUUCGAUUCCCCCCAUCUCCACCA
rnacentral:tmRNA from 1 species